rfam:Capsicum annuum cultivar Zunla-1 chromosome 3, whole genome shotgun sequence
UGAUGAUGGUAAGGGCAAUUUCUGACCAUGAUUUUAAAUCUCACCCAAGCUUGGUAGAUAUUCCCUCCUUCUUUUUGUCUUAAACUCAGAAUCUCACUUCUCAAAUG